AUGAAGAACGUAGCGAAAUGCGAUACGUAAUGUGAAUUGCAGAAUUCAGUGAAUCAUCGAGUCUUUGAACGCACAUUGCGCCCCCUGGUAUUCCGGGGGGCAUGCCUGUCCGAGCGUCAUUGCUGCCCUCAAGCACGGCUUGUGUGUUGGGCCCCGCCCCCCGGCUCCCGGGGGGCGGGCCCGAAAGGCAGCGGCGGCACCGCGUCCGGUCCUCGAGCGUAUGGGGCUUCGUCACCCGCUCCGUAGGCCCGGCCGGCGCCCGCCGGCGACCCCCCUCAAUCUUUUCAGGUUGACCUCGGAUCAGGUAGGGAUACCCGCUGAACUUAAGCAUAUCAAUAAGCGGAGGA
rnacentral:misc_RNA from 1 species